GUGAGGCAGCUGUAUGAUCUGCCCCACAUUUGAAUAUAUAGGAGAUUGGAAGGGAUCAUUUUUCAUGGGCCAUAUAUAACAGUGGAGAAGGCUGCGGUACUAUCAAAGGUUACCAGAAUGGUUCUAGUGCAUGUUGGAUAUCUGGUUCUUCCUGUUUUUGGCUCUGUAAGACAUAGAGUAUGGAGGCUGGCUCUACAUUCUGCAUUUAUCAGAUCUUUGUCGUCCCCCUCCAUUGUGUAGCUAAUGACCAUCUGCUGCUGUGUGGUGUGGCCUCUGCCUGUACUCUGCAUUUAGCUGUAUUGUGAAUCCCUUCUUCCUCAUUUCCUCUUUCCAUCAGAAGACGACAUUGGUAUUUAAAAAAAAUAUAUUUUAAUAAUAAAUUAUCCUCUUGUGGAAGUCUAAAAUAUAACAUCUUCUCUAGAAAACUGUCUUUUUCUGUCAAAUUGAUGUACAGUUAAUAACCCAUUGUAGAACUAGAAGUUAAAACAAAUGUCAUUGUGUACCCCCAUCCAGUCUUAGGUAGACCACAUUAUACUGUAAAUCCCUGUAAAGUGGAUACAUUUUGUGUAGAUUCGAUUACAGCGCUGCUUGAUCGAACACCAGGAUUUGUCUCAUUUUCGUUUUCAUUUUUUUCUUUUUUCAAAAAAGGUGCAUUGUACCGAGCCUCACGUAUAGCCAAAUUUGUCCAUUUUGAAAUUGGCGUCGCGUAAUAUCAGUUAAGUUCAAUGUAGAAUCUGUUGGUAUUUUCUAUUAAAGGGGUAUGAUGUCGCAACGGUAUUUGCUUCACCUCUUUUUAUUGUCUAGCAUUUUCAAUUAUUUUAAUCGAAACCGGCUGUCUGAAACGGUUUCAGUGGAAAAAUGCGAUGGUACACUGCACCUAUGUCAACUGUUAAAUGGCCAGUCAUAAUCCUGUCCGUGUGUGUAGCCCUUUGUUCCUUUUGAAAUGUGUGCUCAUGAAACCCGUGUACAUUUAUAGCUAUAACCGGCUUGCCAAGCCCAAACGAUUUACUAAUUCUAAACAUUUCCCUGGUGAUUCAUUGCUGUGCAAAUUCUAUACUUAUUUUCAAAGCACAAAAUGCUAUCCAUUCCACAGGGAUAAUUAUAUAGAUAUUCCUGCACUGCUAUAGAUCCUCAGAAUAAAAAUGUCUUUAUUCUUUGGUUGUGGUUUUCUACCUUUUUUUGUUCUUGUAUUAGAAUUUAAAAGCAUGGUCAUAUUUUAUUCUUAUUUUGUUUUUACAUUGAAUAGUAAAUUCCAAUGUAAUCUUCCUGUAGAAAAUAUGUACCCUGCUGUACUGUAAUGUGCUAUAGCAUACACAUCUGCUCAUUGGAUGCGGCUUUUGUUCUGUUAACCCUAUACGAAGCAUGGUGGGCCUUGUCUUUGGUUGUUUUUGCAUGUAAUUAUUAUUAUUACACAAUUCCACAUUUACUAAUAUUUUCAAUAAAGAAUAUAGUAUUUUUCCUAA